UACGAAGGGGACUAGCGUUGUUCGGAAUUACUGGGCGUAAAGCGCACGUAGGCGGAUUUUUAAGUCAGGGGUGAAAUCCUGGAGCUCAACUCCAGAACUGCCUUUGAUACUGAAGAUCUUGAGUUCGGGAGAGGUGAGUGGAACUGCGAGUGUAGAGGUGAAAUUCGUAGAUAUUCGCAAGAACACCAGUGGCGAAGGCGGCUCACUGGCCCGAUACUGACGCUGAGGCACGAAAGCGUGGGGAGCAAACAGG
rnacentral:rRNA from 1 species